rnacentral:rRNA from 1 species
GACGUAGGAUGCAAGCGUUGUCCGGAUUUAUUGGGCGUAAAGAGUUCGUAGGCUGUUUGUUAAGUCUGAUGUUAAAGACUGGGGCUCAACCUCGGAAAUGCAUUGGAUACUGGCAGACUGGAGUGCAGUAGAGGCUAGUGGAAUUCCCAGUGUAGCGGUGAAAUGCGUAGAUAUUGGGAAGAACACCGGUGGCGAAGGCGGCUCACUGGCCCGGUACGUGACGCUGACGGUGCGAAAGCGUGGGGAG